GAGCGCUCGUAGCAAUACGGGAGCGGCAGACGGGAGAGUAACACGUGGGAACGUACCCUUCGGUUCGGAAUAACCCAGGGAAACUUGGGCUAAUACCGGAUACGUCCGAAAGGAGAAAGAUUUAUCGCCGAAGGAUCGGCCCGCGCCCGAUUAGCUAGUUGGUGGGGUAAUGGCUCACCAAGGCGACGAUCGGUAGCUGGUCUGAGAGGAUGAUCAGCCUCACUGGGACUGAGACACGGCCCAGACUCCUACGGGAGGCAGCAGUGGGGAAUAUUGGACAAUGGGCGCAAGCCUGAUCCAGCCAUGCCGCGUGGGUGAUGAAGGCCUUAGGGUUGUAAAGCCCUUUCGGCGGGGAAGAUAAUGACGGUACCCGCAGAAGAAGCCCCGGCUAACUUCGUG
rnacentral:rRNA from 1 species